GUACAGCGGCGGACGGGUGAGUAACACGUAAGAAUCUGCCCCAUAGUGAAGAAUACCUUCGAGAAAUUGAAGUUAAUACUGCAUGAGUCCUUCGGGAGAAAAGCGUCUUUUAUGUCGCUGCUAUGGGAUGAGCUUGCGGACUAUCAGCUUGUUGGUGAGGUAAAGGCUCACCAAGGCUAUGACGGUUAACCGGCCUGAGAGGGUGUACGGUCACACAGGCACUGAGAUACGGGCCUGACUCCUACGGGAGGCAGCAGUGGGGAAUAUUGCGCAAUGGGCGAAAGCCUGACGCAGCGACGCCGCGUGGAGGAUGAAGGUCUUAGGAUUGUAAACUCCUGUCAGAUGGGAAGAAAAUAUUUAUUUUUAAUACGGUAGGCCCAUGACGGUACCGUAAGAAUAAGCACCGGCUAACUACGUGCCAGCAGCCGCGGUAAUACGUAGGGUGCGAGCGUUAAUCGGAAUUACUGGGCGUAAAGCGUGCGCAGGCGGUUAUAUAAGACAGAUGUGAAAUCCCCGGGCUCAACCUGGGACCUGCAUUUGUGA
rnacentral:rRNA from 1 species